rnacentral:rRNA from 1 species
UACAGAGGGGGCAAGCGUUGUUCGGAAUUACUGGGCGUAAAGGGCGCGUAGGCGGCCCGCUAAGUCGAACGUGAAAUCCCUGGGCUCAACCCAGGAACUGCGUCCGAUACUGGCAGGCUUGAAUCCGGGAGAGGGAUGCGGAAUUCCAGGUGUAGCGGUGAAAUGCGUAGAUAUCUGGAGGAACACCGGUGGCGAAGGCGGCAUCCUGGACCGGUAUUGACACUGAGGCGCGAAAGCCAGGGGAGCAAACGGG